AUACGGAGGGGGCUAGCGUUGUUCGGAAUUACUGGGCGUAAAGCGCGUGUAGGCGGAUCGUUAAGUCAGGGGUGAAAGCCCGGGGCUCAACCCCGGAACUGCCCUUGAUACUGGCGAUCUAGAGUCCGGAAGAGGUGGGCGGAAUUCCCGGUGUAGAGGUGAAAUUCGUAGAUAUCGGGAGGAACACCAGUGGCGAAGGCGGCUCACUGGUCCGGCACUGACACUGAGACGCGAAAGCGUGGGGAGCAAACAGGAGUAGAUACCCUAGUAGUCC
rnacentral:rRNA from 1 species